rnacentral:rRNA from 2 species
AGUCGAACGCGUUGGCCCAAUUGAUUGAUGGUGCUUGCACCUGAUUGAUUUUGGUCGCCAACGAGUGGCGGACGGGUGAGUAACACGUAGGUAACCUGCCCAGAAGCGGGGGACAACAUUUGGAAACAGAUGCUAAUACCGCAUAACAGCGUUGUUCGCAUGAACAACGCUUAAAAGAUGGCUUCUCGCUAUCACUUCUGGAUGGACCUGCGGUGCAUUAGCUUGUUGGUGGGGUAACGGCCUACCAAGGCGAUGAUGCAUAGCCGAGUUGAGAGACUGAUCGGCCACAAUGGGACUGAGACACGGCCCAUACUCCUACGGGAGGCAGCAGUAGGGAAUCUUCCACAAUGGGCGCAAGCCUGAUGGAGCAACACCGCGUGAGUGAAGAAGGGUUUCGGCUCGUAAAGCUCUGUUGUUAAAGAAGAACACGUAUGAGAGUAACUGUUCAUACGUUGACGGUAUUUAACCAGAAAGUCACGGCUAACUACGUGCCAGCAGCCGCGGUAAUACGUAGGUGGCAAGCGUUAUCCGGAUUUAUUGGGCGUAAAGAGAGUGCAGGCGGUUUUCUAAGUCUGAUGUGAAAGCCUUCGGCUUAACCGGAGAAGUGCAUCGGAAACUGGAUAACUUGAGUGCAGAAGAGGGUAGUGGAACUCCAUGUGUAGCGGUGGAAUGCGUAGAUAUAUGGAAGAACACCAGUGGCGAAGGCGGCUACCUGGUCUGCAACUGACGCUGAGACUCGAAAGCAUGGGUAGCGAACAGGAUUAGAUACCCUGGUAGUCCAUGCCGUAAACGAUGAGUGCUAGGUGUUGGAGGGUUUCCGCCCUUCAGUGCCGGAGCUAACGCAUUAAGCACUCCGCCUGGGGAGUACGACCGCAAGGUUGAAACUCAAAGGAAUUGACGGGGGCCCGCACAAGCGGUGGAGCAUGUGGUUUAAUUCGAAGCUACGCGAAGAACCUUACCAGGUCUUGACAUCUUGCGCCAACCCUAGAGAUAGGGCGUUUCCUUCGGGAACGCAAUGACAGGUGGUGCAUGGUCGUCGUCAGCUCGUGUCGUGAGAUGUUGGGUUAAGUCCCGCAACGAGCGCAACCCUUGUUACUAGUUGCCAGCAUUAAGUUGGGCACUCUAGUGAGACUGCCGGUGACAAACCGGAGGAAGGUGGGGACGACGUCAGAUCAUCAUGCCCCUUAUGACCUGGGCUACACACGUGCUACAAUGGACGGUACAACGAGUCGCGAACUCGCGAGGGCAAGCAAAUCUCUUAAAACCGUUCUCAGUUCGGACUGCAGGCUGCAACUCGCCUGCACGAAGUCGGAAUCGCUAGUAAUCGCGGAUCAGCAUGCCGCGGUGAAUACGUUCCCGGGCCUUGUACACACCGCCCGUCACACCAUGAGAGUUUGUAACACCCAAAGUCGGUGGGGUAACCUUUUAGGAGCCAGCCGCCUAAGGUGGGACAGAUGAUUAGGGUGAAUCG